UAUACAUAUACAUGAUAUAUAUAUACAUAUAUAUAUAUACAUAUACAUGAUAUAUAUGUAUAUAUGUAUAUAUAUAUAUAUAUUUUUUUUUUUUUUUUGAGACAGAGCUUUGCUCUCGUCGCCCAGACUCAGUCUCAAAAAAAAUAAAUAAAUAAAAAGUGAGAUUUUAAAAAGAAAUCUUAUUAAGUCAUUUUAAGUUGGGUGUUCUGUUUCAGUCAAAUCAUCCUAAAUGAUAGCUUUUAAAAAUAAUUCUUCCCAGAAGAAUGGAUCAUGGCAGAAUACAGAAAAUGAGCUCAUGUGUGCAAGCUUCCUUUCUGAAAUCAUAACAGCUAUGUGUAUAUGAAGUGUUUACUCUGUGGCAGGUACUCUGGAAGCACCUUUUAUUCACUGUCUCAUCUGAUUCUCAUGACAGCCCUGUCAUUAUCCCCCGCCACCCCCCCCCUUCCCAUUUCACAGCUGAGGAAGUCAAGGUGCAGAAAGGUUAAAGGAACUCAUAAGUGAAGGCACUGAGAUCUGAACUCAAACAACCCAGCCUAAAAAUCCAUGGUCUCAGCCACCAUGCUGUGUUUCC
rnacentral:antisense_RNA from 1 species